rnacentral:rRNA from 1 species
UACGUAGGUGGCGAGCGUUGUCCGGAAUUACUGGGCGUAAAGGGCGCGUAGGCGGAUAUUUAAGUCAGAUGUGAAAACUCCGGGCUCAACUUGGAGAUUGCAUUUGAAACUGGGUAUCUUGAGGACAGGAGAGGAAAGCGGAAUUCCUAGUGUAGCGGUGAAAUGCGUAGAUAUUAGGAGGAACACCAGUGGCGAAGGCGGCUUUCUGGACUGUAACUGACGCUGAGGCGCGAAAGCGAGGGUAGCAAACGGGGAUUAGAUACCCCUGUAGUCCCUGA